rnacentral:rRNA from 1 species
GAUGAACGCUGGCGGCGUGCCUAACACAUGCAAGUCGAACGAAGCGCCUUACCGGAUUCUUCGGAUGAAGGUCUGGUGACUGAGUGGCGGACGGGUGAGUAACGCGUGGGUAACCUGCCCUGUACAGGGGGAUAACAGCUGGAAACGGCUGCUAAUUCCGCAUAAGCGCACGAGGAGACAUCUCCUUGUGUGAAAAACUCCGGUGGUACAGGAUGGGCCCGCGUCUGAUUAGCUGGUUGGCAGGGUAACGGCCUACCAAGGCAACGAUCAGUAGCCGGUCUGAGAGGAUGAACGGCCACAUUGGAACUGAGACACGUACCAAACUCCUACGGGAGGCAGCAGUGGGGAAUAUUGCACAAUGGGUGAAACCCUGAUGCAGCAACGCCGCGUGAGUGAAGAAGUAUUGCGGUAUGUAAAGCUCUAUCAGCAGGGAAGAUAAUGACGGUACCUGACUAAGAAGCUCCGGCUAAAUACGUG